UAGGCAGGGCCUCUCUGCCGCUGGAUUAGAAUAUUAUUGCCGAUCGGUCAUUCUCAUGCGCUCAUCAUUGGUGCUGGAGGUUUGCGUACUAUACGAUCGACCUCUCCAGAUAACUCACUAUUUUCUCCUCCCUUUGGAUUUUAUGUGUUGCCAACACUGUACUAGAGCAUGGACUGGUAGAUAGAAUACAACCCUAAAUUUAACAUCAGAACCCUAACAUCAACUUCCUUAAUUUUACUUACCUUAAAUCCCCAAUUGAUAUCUCGAAGAUUUAUAACGUUAAUUAAUUAGUUCUGAACCUGGAGAAUGUUGACGGGAUACACAGAGGGUCUGUCAGAGAUUGGAUCAUCGAAGGAUCACUUACUUUCCGAUCCUGAAGCCGCGUUGGACGACGACGACGACGACGAUGAAGUGGAGUCUGAACAGAUACUGUACACGGCCUCCUUUGAGGAGCUUGGGAAAAGUACCUUGAAGUAUGAUACCGUUAUAUGGGUUUCUAUAUCAUUGUUGCUGGUUUUAGCUUGGGGAGUAGGUAUUCUUAUGUUGCUAUAUUUGCCCAUCAGAAGAUACGUGUUUAGACAGGAGAUUUCAUCACGCAAACUCUAUGUUACGCCCAACGAAAUUGUGUAUAAGGUUUCAAGGCCUUCAUUCAUACCCUUUUGGGGAGUCACGGUAAUUGACAAGCGUGUUCCUCUUUCCUUUGUGAUUGAUAUCAUCAUUGAACAAGGCUGGCUACAGUCUAUUUAUGGAAUCCAUACAUUUAGAGUUGAAAGUAUAGCACAUGGAAAAGCUGCACCUGUUGAUGAACUGCAAGUUCAAGGUGUUGUUAGCCCUUCAUUUCUGAGAAAGAAUUUCUUACAGGUCAUAAUAACAGAAGCUGCAAAGAAUAUACGGGAUGAUGGAAGAGGUUGGAGACCUGCUGCUCUCACAGGGGAAGGAGACAGUAUGUCUAGAAUGGGAUCAUUGGGUGAGGGACCAGCUGCUUUUAAAUCACCAUCCAAAACCUGGAAGGCAUGUGAUGAAUUCUCCACGCUAUGCAUCAUUGGAGCCUAGAAGUGCAAUCCCUGGUGAAGUGCUGCUAAAUAAGCUUGAAGAAGUCAGUAAAUCAGUUAAGAAAAUUGAGCUGCUCAUUGAGAAGUCCCAAACUGACCCAGAAAGCAGUCAGAACUAACUUGAAAAAUAAGGUCUUUCGAGGCUCCAAUCUGUAAGGCAGGAGCUUUUCUGGUUAGCUGAAGAACAAUCCCGCAGAACCCAAAUCGUGGUAAGCAGCUAAUGCUAUGCAGGGUUGCUUCGUAUUGUAUAGGAUCCAAGUGGGACGUUUUUCUACCCAGCAUAUUUGAAACCUCAGUUGGUAAUUGGUUUUUUUUUCUUUUCUUUUUUCUUUUCUUCUUGGUGGAAGCAGAUUUUAAUACUGGAUUUCUGCAAUAUUCUUCUUAAACUUUUGAUGUUGUAGAGAAUUCCACCAAGUGAUUGGUUUUCAUUUGUUUGUAUAAAGUUAGUUUCGAUCCCUUAUUUGUUUUAAAAAUCUUAAUGCAAGGCCAGACUGAUUUUUGUGAAGUUUGGUCUUAUUUCAGUCUUUUCCAUCUAAUCUUCUUGUUCACUUUUCAUUUCCUGUUGUAUCUCCGGCUUCCAGGGGUUGAUCUUUAUAGUACAAAAUAUUACACUUUUGUCA